GGGACUAAUCGGGACUAAUCGGGACCAAUCGGAACUCGCGAUGCUGGGGGCUCGCCUCUUGCGUUCUUCGCGCAUUCUUGACGCAUUUCUCGCGCAUAGCCGAUCGCGCGUGCUCAUAAAGCGACCGCGUAUCAUCUCGACCGAUUUAGUCGCGUACCGUAUAUCUCUCACCGCGUACCGUACACCGUAUACCUUCUCCGCACGAAUAUCAGCGAUCUUUUAUUAUCUCGAAAUACUCUAAGACGAUUAAUUUUUUCUCCUCGAUUUUCAACCUCUCUUCAAACAACAAACCAUUACGAUCCGUGACAAUCGUAAGAUAACCAAGAUUUUCGCAUUUGCGUCACCGAAUCGUCGCCGGAAGAUGCAUCCCUGUUCUCACAGCUGAGACCGCCUCGUAGACUACGCCAGUCGGCCCCUCCUCGUCCACGAGCAAUCACUAGAAAGUAAGAAAAGCUCUAAUAUCGUCUUGCGUCUCGUUGCUAGCGCAAUCGCAAACGAUUAUCAAUAAUAUCACAUAAGAUAGAUAGAACGAAUCGAAGCGAGUGCAAGACUAAA